rnacentral:pre_miRNA from 1 species
CUUCUACUCCCUUCGUUCCGAAUUACUUGUCACAAGUAUGGAUGUAUCUAGAUGUAUUUUAGUUCUAGAUACAUCCAUUUCUGCGACGAGUAAUUUGGAACGGAGGGAGUACUAG